rnacentral:tRNA from 1 species
UCAGGAGUUAGUUUAUUAAAAUAUUGGUUUUGGGGACCAAGGAUAGAAAUUAUUUUCUAUUCCUGAA